CACCUCCAAGGUAAUGUAGUUCACACCACCACCUCCAAGGUAAUGUAGUUCACACCACCACCUCCAAGGUAAUGUUCUUCUAGUUCACUUAUUCACUGAUUCAAAACCUCCCAUGUAAUGUAGCUCUUCUGGUUCACUGAUUCACUGUUGUGGGCAUUUAUUCUAUCACUUCUUUGCUAAUCAAAUAAAUACAAUUUUUAAGUAGAAACGGAUAAACUACUAAAUGAAGCUUUCUUGAAAGAUGAAUUUUCUUACAAUCAUGGCAACUCUAAAAUUAUAUAAAUCCAUGAUAUUUGAAGAUUCUGUAAGCCAAAGAAAAUGUGUAAAUCUAGUGGCUAAGCAUAGGAUGAGAUUGUAAAUCUAGUGGCUAAGCAUAGGAUGAGAUUGUAAAUCUUGUGGCUAAGCAUAGGAUGAGAUUGUAAAUCUUGUGGCUAAGCAUAGGAUGAGAUUGUAAAUCUAGUGGCUAAGCAUAGGAUGCGAUUGUAAAUCUUGUGGCUAAGCAUAGGAUGAGAUUGUAAAUCUAGUGGCUAAGCAUAGGAUGAGAUUGUAAAUCUAGUGGCUAAGCAUAGGAUGAGAUUGUAAAUCUAGUGGCUAAGCAUAGGAUGAGAUUGUAAAUCUAGUGGCUAAGCAUAGGAUGAGAUUGUAAAUCUAGUGGCUAAGCAUAGGAUGUAAAUCUAGUGGCUAAGCAUAGGAUGUAAAUCUAGUGGCUAAGCAUAGGAUGUAAAUCUAGUGGCUAAGCAUAGGAUGAGAUUGUAAAUCUUGUGGCUAACCAUAGGAUGAGAUUGUAAAUCUAGUGGCUAAGCAUAGGAUGAGAUUGUAAAUCUAGUGGCUAAGCAUAGGAUGAGAUUGUAAAUCUAGUGGCUAACCAUAGGAUGAGAUUGUAAAUCUAGUGGCUAAGCAUAGGAUGUAAAUCUAGUGGCUAAGCAUAUGAUGUAAAUCUAGUGGCUAAGCAUAGGAUGAGAUUGUAAAUCUAGUGGCUAAGCAUAGGAUGAGAUUGUAAAUCUAGUGGCUAACCAUAGGAUGAGAUUGUAAAUCUAGUGGCUAAGUAUAGGAUGAGAUUGUAAAUCUAGUGGCUAAGCAUAGGAUGAGAUUGUAAAUCUAGUGGCAAAGC